UAAAACUGCAAACUCCCUGUUAGGCAGCCCUCUGCUAUGGAUUUUGGAGGUGACCUCCUCACCUCAGGCUGAGACAUCUCAUCUCCCUGCUGUCUGGAUGCCCUUUCUUGUCUGUGCUUCACUCAGGUCUAAACGUGUGAAUCUUCUGGCUUCGUGCGGGGUUUUUGGCCCAACUCCCUUUAUCAUGAGACCCCGAGUCCUCACCUUCUGUGUCCAUGUGGUGAUUAAAGCCUGAGAUCCCCCUCCAGCACACACACACUUUGCUGUAACAGAGACCGAUUUCCUUGGGCGGAAAGUGAUGUCAUAAACUUGUCCCUCUGGCUAUCAUUUCCUUUUCCAGGCUUGUCGCUAUUUUCCUGCAGCUCAGCCACAUGCAUGAAUGACACCUGCCCAAGCCUCAGAGUGCUGGUCCCUUCAGUAGUCACCACCCUCGACCUUGCAAGAGCUAUGGUGAGACUUUCCACCCAUGUGGUUGUCACGGGAGCAGCAAAGACUCAACACCUGACCCUGCGUAGGCCACAUUUUGAAGCUGGAACUCAGAGAAAGCAGUGGCCGAAGCUGAAGGCCAGUAGCAUAAGUGAGAUAAGACUUCUGUUGCCAUCUGUCCACAGCUGUGGCUUUUCCUGACUCCAAAAUCCAUUUUUGUUGUUGAGCACCUUUAGGCAUUCCAAUAACCAUAUAAUAAAAUGCCUUUUCUACUCAACUCGUCCAAGCUGGCUUUCUGUCCCUCACCACCAAGAAAGUGAGUCACACGUCCGUCCAGGCAGAGCAGUGGGGAGAAUCUCCCUGUCCUUCUCGGUUCAGCGUGGCCACGUGGCUCCAGAGGGACUCGUCUCGCAUCCCGUGUGUUUAGACAAACCUCUCUCGCUCGCGUGCCAUCUUCCUGCCGUGGUGCUUCCCGUGCAGCCCCAGCCCCACAGGGCACCCAGACCGCAGGGACCCACUGAUGCAGACAGCCGGGGACACACUGCUUGUGUUCCGUUUACACGGAUGAAGGCCUGACCUUCAGAGGUGGAAUUCCUCGCCAAAUUCAAACGAAACUCACAGGACUCAGAGCUACUGUGUUUAUCCCCCGGACGCUGUUGCUUUUCCUAAUGGUUCAAAAGUUUGGAUAUAGAAGUGACUCAGCCAUCUGAAAGUUAUUUUUCUGUUGUUUGAAGAUCUGUUCUAAGAAAGGGUUAUUAAUGUUGUAAGAUGUCAUUAGUAUGAGAUUUGUAGCAGUGUUUUGCAGACUGAGGUAUUUAGAACAGAUAAACCUCAUUUUUUUUUGUUUUUGGUCCCAGAUGUGUGUGGUUCAUCAUCGUCUCUGAUACAGUUCAAGGAAAGAGAAAUUUUAAAAUGAAUUUAACACAUGUC